AACGCACAUUGCGCCCUUUGGUAUUCCUUAGGGCAUGCCUGUUCGAGCGUCAUUUAAACCCUCAAGCUCAGCUUGGUGUUGGGCGCCUGUCCCUCCCCCUCGGGGCGGGGACUCGCCUCAAAUGCAUUGGCAGCCGGUACGUUGGCUUCGAGCGCAGCAGAUAAGCGCCUGGCGUCUGACGGUAGCGGCUCUCCAGCAAGCCACCCCCACAUUUUGACCUCGGAUCAGGUAGGGAUACCCGCUGAACUUAA
rnacentral:misc_RNA from 1 species